rnacentral:rRNA from 1 species
UGGGGAAUAUUGCACAAUGGGGGAAACCCUGAUGCAGCGACGCCGCGUGAGCGAUGAAGGCUUUCGAGUCGUAAAGCUCUGUCCUAUGGGAAGAUAAUGACGGUACCAUAGAAGAAAGCCCCGGCUAAUUACGUGCCAGCAGCCGCGGUAAUACGUAAGGGGCGAGCGUUGUCCGGAAUUAUUGGGCGUAAAGAGUGCGUAGACGGCAAAUUAAGUCAGAUGUGAAAACUAAGGGCUCAACCCAUAGAUUGCAUCUGAAACUGAUAUGCUUGAGUCAAGGAGAGGAAAGUGGAAUUCCUAGUGUAGCGGUGGAAUGCGUAGAUAUUAGGAGGAAUACCGGUGGCGAAGGCGACUUUCUGGACUUGAACUGACGCUGAGGCACGAAAGCGUGGGGAGCAAACAGG